UGCCAGCUGGGAUAGCUCAGUUGGUAGAGCAUGAGACUCUCAAGGUUGUGGGUUCAAGUCCCAUGCUGGACAA